rnacentral:rRNA from 1 species
AUUGAACGCUGGCGGCAGGCUUAACACAUGCAAGUCGAACGAGUGGCGGACGGGUGAGUAAUGCAUGGGAAUCUGGCUUAUGGAGGGGGAUAACUACGGGAAACUGUAGCUAAUACCGCCUACCAUCGGAUGUGCCCAAGUGGGAUUAGGUAGUUGGUGAGGUAAAGGCUCACAAAGGCGACGAUCUCUAGCUGGUCUGAGAGGAGGACCAGCCACACUGGGACUGAGACACGGCCCAGACUCCUACGGGAGGCAGCAGUGGGGAAUAUUGCGCAAGGGGGGAAACCCUGACGCAGCCAUGCCGCGUGUGUGAAGAAGGCCUUCGGGUUGUAAAGUUCUUUCAGCGGGGAGGCGUUACCUGCAGAAGAAGCACCGGCUAACUCCGUGCCAGCAGCCGCGGUAAUUC